rnacentral:lncRNA from 1 species
UUCAGACGCAGGGAAUUUUCAUCCCUCAGGUUGGCUUCUGUAUCAUCCAGCCUGGCCUAUAGUAGGUAUCAGUAAAUCUCUCUUGACUUAAGUAGAUGCUGUUAGGUCCACCUUACAGAUAAAGAAACUGAGGAAUGAAGAGGCUGGGCCCACAACAAGGAGAUGGCCAGGCAGGAUUUGAACCCAGGCAAUCUGGCCCAGAAUGCCCUCCCCUCACAUGCCACACUCUGCUGCCUAGAGCAUGGAGGUGGCAUACGCUGGGGUCUGUGCCUUGAGCCUCACGGAGAGGGGCCCAACUGAGGACUCGCCCUCCCCCUCCAGGGUACAGAAGUGCAGGUGGAUGACAUCAAGCGGGUCUACUCACUCUUCCUGGACGAGUCCCGCUCCACGCAGUACAUGAAGGAGUACCAGGACGCCUUCCUCUUCAACGAACUCAAAGGCGAGACCAUGGACACCUCCUGAGUUGGAUGUCAUCCCCCGACCCCACCCUGUUUUCCACCAGAGUUCUGACACUGUGACUCUGUAUAAAAUGGUUGGGAAGCUGCA